UGCCUCUCCCAUGGUUCUUUGUGACACUGACUGUGACUGUUUUCUCCAUGCACACUCUGUCUUUGGAUAAUGGGGUUGCUAUCCUGUUUUUCAUAUCAGGAUUCUCCUCUUCUGCUCGUGUGUUUAUGGAAAAUCAGCUCUCUACCGGGCUGUGUCUGGGGAAGUAGCUUUGGCCUCAGCCAAGCAGAGCCGAGUCACAGAGAGCAGUUCCAGGGCCAGGCGAAGUGAAUUCAAGCCCCUGGCUGGGGGAAGCGUUCGUUGGCCAUUUCUGGAGUUAGAUGCCAGCCAUCUGUCCAACUGCUGGGCAGGGAAGAUAAACACUGCAGCCCUGGGAGCCCUGCAGAGAGCAGAGGAAAGAAUUCUUGAGGACCCCCACCCCACACGUUUCGAAAGGAGACAUAAUCAGCAAACGGCUCGAAAAGCAGCUAACUUAAGAGUAAAUAACGAUCAAGAGGUACCAUGGAAGAGACAAUGUCCUGUUGGCCAGCACAAUUAAAAUCAAUAUCACUGAGGCAGAAGACUCAGCGGCAGCUCGACUGUGUGUGGCUCCAACUCACAGAUGACUCAUGAAGAGAGAGGUGUAGUUCGGCCCAGAACCUCAGGUGUUGGCGUCUCUGUGGUGCAGAGGGAACGGCACAGCAGAGCAGCCCAAGUCAUGGUGGCCAGGCAGCAGAAAGCAGGAUGACUUCCUUUAUCACUGGGGUUUUGUUCUUGUCUGCUUUUCAUUCUGUGUGACUCCCAGGCUAUGGGCUGGCUCUGCUUACAGUGUGAAUAAGUGUUCCUUCUUGUUAAUUCUCUGGUAACUGCCCUGAAGUGUACUUGUGUCAAGGCUACCACACAGACCAUCAGCACUAACCCUCAUGAGAACAGCCACAGCCUGGCAGGGUGGUUGUGUUUGUGGAGGUGAUGGCAGUAGUGGUGUGUGAUUUCCUUACACACUGCUUGGUUCCCUAAUUCCUUAUCAGAAUCUCAUUUGUCUCCCUAAGUUCCCCUCAGUCACUUAGCUCGGCAUGCACACACCACAGCCUAAUGGGCGUGGUUUCAUCAGAGAGCAGUACAGGGGACAGCAGGCAACUGCAGGAAAGUGUGGUGACCUCAAAGCCCGGGGACACCUAUCAUCUAGUCGAUGUCUGUCUACGAUGCUCGGGACUCCCAACCUUGCUUGCAGACUUGGGUGGGUAAACGUUCUUGAACCAAUUCCAAAUGGGAGGGGGACUUUUUGAGAUGGGCUGAACACAUAAAUAAUCUUGAGGACAUUUGUUGAUGAUAUGGGGUCAACAUGAAAUUCUAAAUGGAGACUCUCACAGAAGAAUCCAGGAUGAUGAUGGCCGAUGAUCCCGUGGUCACCAUUGUGCUAAUGAGGGGCAGUGGAUCCUAAUGGUGGGGCCCACCUGCUGGCUUUUGUGUAGUCCUUUAUCUAGCAGCAUCUGGAGGAUGGGGUUGGAUGUCCCUGUCCAUUGGUCCUGCCCUAUGGUCCUGUCCGUCUAAGCCUCUGAGCCUCCUCUUCCACAGGGCCCUGGUGCAGCCAUGCAGGGACCCUUCAUGCCCAAGAACACAGACAAAUGUGGGAAAGCCCAGGAGCUAACUUCUUUGUCUUUAGGUCACACACACACACACACACACACACACACACAGGCCAAGGCAUUCAUAGGUGGAAGUUGCUAUGAGUUUGUGGUGACGCGCUCCUGAAUAGGAAGCCGAGGACCUCGGAGCAAAUGAA
rnacentral:lncRNA from 1 species